UGGGGGACUGCGUUCGCGCUCUCCCCUG
rnacentral:piRNA from 6 species